rnacentral:rRNA from 1 species
GACGAACGCUGGCGGCGUGCCUAAUACAUGCAAGUAGAACGCACAGUUUAUACCGUAGCUUGCUACACCAUAGACUGUGAGUUGCGAACGGGUGAGUAACGCGUAGGUAACCUGCCUGGUAGCGGGGGAUAACUAUUGGAAACGAUAGCUAAUACCGCAUAAUAUUAAUUAUUGCAUGAUAAUUAAUUGAAAGGUGCAAUUGCACCACUACCAGAUGGACCUGCUGUGUAUUAGCUAGUAGGUGAGGUAACGGCUCAACUAGGCGACGAUACAUAGCCGACCAGAGAGGGUGAUCGGCAACACUGGGACUGAGAAACGGCCCAGACUCCUACGGGAGGCAGCAGUAGGGAAUCUUCGGCAAUCGACGAAAGUCUGACCGAGCAACGCCGCGUGAGUGAAGAAGGUUUUCGGAUCGUAAAGCUCUGUUGUAAGAGAAGAACGGGUGUGAGAGUGGAAAGUUCACACUGUGACGGUAUCUUACCAGAAAGGGACGGCUAACUACGUG